AAUGCUUAGGAAUCUGCCUAUUAGUGGGGGACAACAUUCCGAAAGGAAUGCUAAUACCGCAUACGCCCUACGGGGGAAAGCAGGGGAUCUUCGGACCUUGCGCUAAUAGAUGAGCCUAAGUCAGAUUAGCUAGUUGGUGGGGUAAAGGCCUACCAAGGCGACGAUCUGUAGCGGGUCUGAGAGGAUGAUCCGCCACACUGGGACUGAGACACGGCCCAGACUCCUACGGGAGGCAGCAGUGGGGAAUAUUGGACAAUGGGCGCAAGCCUGAUCCAGCCAUGCCGCGUGUGUGAAGAAGGCCUUUUGGUUGUAAAGCACUUUAAGCGAGGAGGAGGCUACUGAGAUUAAUACUCUUGGAUAGUGGACGUUACUCGCAGAAUAAGCACCGGCUAACUCUGUGCCAGCAGCCGCGGUAAUACAGAGGGUGCGAGCGUUAAUCGGAUUUACUGGGCGUAAAGCGUGCGUAGGCGGCUUUUUAAGUCGGAUGUGAAAUCCCGGGGCUCAACCCCGGAACUGCCUUUGAAACUGCAUCGCUUGAAUCCGGGAGAGGUGAGUGGAAUUCCGAGUGUAGAGGUGAAAUUCGUAGAUAUUCGGAAG
rnacentral:rRNA from 1 species